CUAAGCUACUAAGGGCACACGGUGGAUGCCUUGGCGUCGGGAGCCGAUGAAGGGCGUGGCAAGCUGCGAUAAGCCGGGAAGCUGCAAGCAAGCGUUGAUCCGGAGAUGCCCGAAUGGGGAAACCUGGCCCGAUUAAUAUCGGGUCAUCCGCACCUGAAUCCAUAGGGUGCGGAGGGCAACCGGGGGAACUGAAACAUCUNAGUACCCCGAGGAAAAGAAAGCAACCGCGAUUCCCUGAGUAGCGGCGAGCGAAAGGGGAACAGCCCAAACCUCACGAGUGUUAAAGNCCGCAGGCGUUGCUCGUGGGGGGUUGUAGGACUCACCAGAAAGGNCUGCGGACCUUUCAGGGAGUUACAAAACUCAGGGAUAGCCGAACUGGCUGGAAAGCCAGGCCAGAGAGGGUGAAAGCCCCGUAGGCGAAAUCUCUGAGUCUCCCGGUGAGUUCCUGAGUACCACGGGACACGUGGAAUCCUGUGGGAAGCUGGGAGGACCACCUCCCAAGGCUAAAUACUCCCCGACGACCGAUAGCGAACUAGUACCGUGAGGGAAAGGUGAAAAGAACCCCGGGAGGGGAGUGAAAUAGAACCUGAAACCGUGUGCCUACAACCGGUCGGAGCCCGCCCCCGGGCCAAGUGCCUGGGGAUCCGGGUGACGGCGUGCCUUUUGCAUAAUGAGCCGGCGAGUUACGGUAGCGGGCAAGGCUAAGGGCAAAACCCGGAGCCGGAGCGAAAGCGAGUCUGAAUAGGGCGAUUAGUUCGCUGCCGUAGACCCGAAGCCAGGUGAUCUACCCCUGGACAGGGUGAAGUCUCGGUAACACGGGAUGGAGGCCCGAACCGGUCGGUGCUGAAAAACCGUCGGAUGAUCUGGGGGUAGGGGUGAAAGGCCAAUCAAACCUGGAGAUAGCUGGUUCUCCCCGAAAUAGCUUUAAGGCUAGCCUCGGACGGUCAGUUGCGGAGGUAGAGCACUGGAUGGGCUAGGGGCCUUAACCGGUUACCAAACCCAACCAAACUCCGAAUGCCGCAACUCAAAGUCCGGGAGUCAGACUGCGGGGGAUAAACUCCGUAGUCGAGAGGAAAAGAGUCCAGACCGCCAGCUAAGGCCCCCAAAAGCAGGCUAAGUGGGGAAGGAUGUGGAGCUGCUCAGACAGCCAGGAGGUUGGCUUAGAAGCAGCCAUCCUUUAAAGAGUGCGUAACAGCUCACUGGUCGAGCGGCUCUGCGCCGAAAAUUUAACGGGGCUUAAGCCUGCUGCCGAAGCUGCGGGAUCGUCUGGUUUUCCAGGCGGUCGGUAGGGGAGCGUUCCCUGCGGGAUGAAGUCAGAGCGAGAGCUCUGGUGGACUGCAGGGAAGUGCGAAUGCCGGCAUGAGUAGCGAGAUCCGGGUGAGAAUCCCGGACGCCGUAAGCCCAAGGGUUCCUGGGGAAGGAUAAUCCGCCCAGGGUUAGUCGGGACCUAAGGUGAGGCCGAAAGGCGUAGCCGAAGGGCAGCCGGUUGAUAUUCCGGCACCACCAGGCUCCGCUAUGAGCGAUGGGGUGACGCAGGAGGGUAGGCCAGCGCGGUGGUGGAUUGCCGCGUUCAAGCCUGUAGGAGGGUCCGGUAGGUAAAUCCGUCGGACCAUUAACUCUGAGAGGCGAUGACGACCCGCCGAAGGGCGGGGAAGUGGCUAAUCCCACACUGCCAAGAAAAGCCUCUAGCCAGGAGUCCUGGUGCCCGUACCCACAACCGACGCAGGUGGGCGAGUAGAGGAUACUAAGGCGAUCGAGUGAAACCCCGCUAAGGAACUCGGCAAGUUAGCCCCGUAACUUCGGGAGAUGGGGCGCCUCAUUAGGGUGAAGGAACUUGCUUCCGGAGCCCGAAGAGGCCGCAGUGAAAAGGCCCAGGCGACUGUUUACUAAAAACACAGGUCUCUGCAAACCCGUAAGGGGACGUAUAGAGGCUGACGCCUGCCCGGUGCCGGAAGGUUAAGGGGAAGGGUUACCCCGACGUCACGUUGGGGGAAGCUCUGAACCUAAGCCCCGGUAAACGGCGGCCGUAACUAUAACGGUCGACUUACUUAGGGCCGUUGUAAAAUCCGGCUAUAUGCUGGGAAGCCUGGUCAGAGCCCUGGCCACCGAGGAGGUGAUAGUGCCAUGGGUGCAGGUGAUCAGCAGGGAAGGCUGCCGGCGAGACGGAAAUAUCUGCAUUACUAUAUUGCAGGGUUCGUCGACGCAGAAGGUAGCUUUAAUGUAUCCCUGAAACCACAUUCGAAAAUGAAGUAUGGUUGGGUUGUGGAUCCAGUUUUCCAGGUUUACCAACACAAAGAUAAUUUGGUAAUCCUGGAGAUAAUUCAGGAAGCAUUAAACUGUGGAAGAAUAAAACCAAAAUCUCCAACGAGUAAUGUGAUGGUAUACAUAGUGGACAAUAGAAGAACGCUGGUGGAAAAGAUUAUUCCUUUCUUUGAAAGAUAUCCACUUCUCUCGAAUAAGUAUUACGAUUUCCUUAAGUUCAAGGAGAUUUUGGAGAGAAUGGAGAGGAAAGAGCAUCUGAAUCCGAAAGGAUUGCUGGAAAUAGUGAAAAUCGCUGUAAGCAUGAAUGCCAGCGGGAAGCAGAGGAAGUAUCUGUACAAAGAUGUUGAGAAAUCCGUAAAAAAGAUUUGGCUUCUCAGGAAAUUUAGAACGGCAGCCCCCUCAGAGACUGUACGCCGGACUCACUGAGAACAGGCGAGUAGCCUGAAAGGUGAGAAGAUACAGUCCAAUCCUUCUGGCGACAGAAGGUGUAAAGAGCCUAAGGUAGCGAAAUUCCUUGUCGGGUAAGUUCCGACCCGCACGAAUGGCGUAACGAUCUGGGCACUGUCUCGGCGGGGUGCUCGGCGAAAUUGCACUACCCGUGAAGAUGCGGGUUACCCGCGGCUGGACGGAAAGACCCCGUGAACCUUUACUGCAGCUUGGCACUGAAUCUCGGUACGCUAUGUACAGGAUAGGUGGGAGGCUGAGAAGUCCUGGCGCUA
rnacentral:rRNA from 1 species